CCUACGGGGCGCAGCAGUGGGGAAUAUUGGACAAUGGGCGAAAGCCUGAUCCAGCCAUGCCGCGUGUGUGAAGAAGGCCUUCGGGUUGUAAAGCACUUUCAGUGGGGAAGAAAGCCUUGGGGCUAAUACCCUCGAGGAAGGACAUCACCCACAGAAGAAGCACCGGCUAACUCCGUGCCAGCAGCCGCGGUAAUACGGAGGGUGCGAGCGUUAAUCGGAAUUACUGGGCGUAAAGCGCGCGUAGGCGGUCUGAUAAGCCGGUUGUGAAAGCCCCGGGCUCAACCUGGGAACGGCAUCCGGAACUGUCAGGCUAGAGUGCAGGAGAGGAAGGUAGAAUUCCCGGUGUAGCGGUGAAAUGCGUAGAGAUCGGGAGGAAUACCAGUGGCGAAGGCGGUCUUCUGGACUGACACUGACGCUGAGGUGCGAAAGCGUGGGUAGCAAACAGGAUUAGAUACCCCUGUAGUC
rnacentral:rRNA from 1 species